CAUGCAGGAGAACUGUGAGAAUGUGACCUCGCUGGGUGACACAACCAUGAAAAAAACACCCGUUAAACUCAAAGGCUGUGCGUACCCCAUCAACAUCGGCAUAACCGUCUAAAAAGAUACAAGCCUGACUCAAAAUUUUGAUAUCCUGCUGACAGUAAUAUGUGAGCUCUUUCUAAGUCAAACACCUCAGAGCUGUGGUCCUGGGACCAGACGAGAAACUCUGCUUUUUCCCUGGGCAUCAUGCUUUCUACAACAUAGUGCGCCACACCGGGCAUAGGCCCCAUGUAAUUUUGAUUUUAUAAAAAGUGUUAAAAUUUUUUGGAAAAUACCCUUUGCACCCUUCAAACCUCAUUGCCUGCGGUAGCUUGCUCAUGAGCAAGAAGUUUAAAGCGUCUAUAAAAUGAAUGCCCAGGGCCUUAACUUCCACACACAUUAGUUUACUACCCUGAGUGAUCAGUUCUAGGCAUAUCUUUUCCUUCAGUAACUGUCUAACAAUGACGUAUGCACCAUAACCUUUGGAAUUGUGCUCUAGGAAUGUGCAGUCCCAAAACUCUUUGUAAAUAAAGGUUUUAACAAACAUAGAA